UAAAAGGGAGGGCCUCAAGUUUACCAUAAAUAAAAUCAACAACUAACUUCACAAAAAUAGGAAUCACAUUAACCGUUAUAAGACUUAACUUCACAAAGUUAACUAAAAGGCAUAAGGAUUGUUCAAAAUCUCUAAGAAUAACUUUAAUGAGACAAAUAUUCUUAAUAAAAGGAUCAUCGAAGGUCAAGGCGUCAUCUGCAUAUUAGAUAUGAGUGACUACGAGAAGCCUAGUUUAAAAUAUGA
rnacentral:lncRNA from 1 species